GCGACCCAGGGAGGGUGGCAGCUGACAACACACCAGCUGGGACUGUCCCCAUCCAGCCCUUCCUCCCGGAAGCUCGCUGAGGCCUUGGCCGUUGAGGGCACUGGCCAGCAGACGCUCCUGCUGGCAUGGCAGAGUGGACCGUGAACGCUGUCCUCUGUGGCUCACUGCCCACAUGGCUCCCGUGGCUCCGCAGAUGGCAGGCCCCACAGACGCUCCGUUUCUGGGACUAAUCAGCCUUCCAGAGGGCAAUCAAGGGCCUCUGCUGGAACUUUCUUAGGAACUGAGCCUUUA
rnacentral:lncRNA from 1 species